AAUGAAUAACUGCCAACAGGUACCCUUAGGGUUUAAAAGGGAAUCAGGUGAAAGUCCUGAGCGGUCCCGCCACUGUAACCGGGGAUGAACUGCUAGGCCACUGGGAUGAAAAGUCCUGGGAAGGCGCAGGGAAGAUGAACCGGAAGCCAGGAGACCUGCCUGUUGGUUUUCUAGUAC
rnacentral:ncRNA from 1 species